AUUGAACGCUGGCGGCAUGCUUUACACAUGCAAGUCGAACGGUAACAGGGUGCUUGCACCGCUGACGAGUGGCGAACGGGUGAGUAAUGCGUCGGAACGUGCCGAGUAGUGGGGGAUAACGCAGCGAAAGUUGUGCUAAUACCGCAUACGUACUGAGGUAGAAAGUGGGGGACCUUCGGGCCUCACGCUAUUCGAGCGGCCGACGUCUGAUUAGCUAGUAGGUGAGGUAAAGGCUCACCGAGGCGACGAUCAGUAGCGGGUCUGAGAGGAUGAUCCGCCACACUGGGACUGUGGCACGGGCCAGACUCCUAAGGGAGGCAGCAGUGGGGAAUUUUGGACAAUGGGCGAAAGCCUGGUCCAGCCAUGCCGCGUGUCUGAAGAAGGCCUUCGGGUUGUAAAGCCCUUUUGUUGGGAAAGAAAUCCAGCUGGCUAAUACCCGGUUGGGAUGACGGUACCCAAAGAAUAAGCACCGGCUAACUUCGUGCCAGCCGCCGCCGUAA
rnacentral:rRNA from 1 species